rnacentral:tRNA from 1 species
GCCGUGAUCGUAUAGUGGUCAGUACAUUUCGUUGUGGCCGCACUAACCCAGGUUCGAAUGCUGGUCACGGCA